rnacentral:rRNA from 1 species
GAACGCUGGCGGCAGGCUUAACACAUGCAAGUCGAGCGGGGGAAGGUAGCUUGCUACCGGACCUAGCGGCGGACGGGUGAGUAAUGCUUAGGAAUCUGCCUAUUAGUGGGGGACAACAUCUCGAAAGGGAUGCUAAUACCGCAUACGUCCUACGGGAGAAAGCAGGGGAUCUUCGGACCUUGCGCUAAUAGAUGAGCCUAAGUCGGAUUAGCUAGUUGGUGGGGUAAAGGCCUACCAAGGCGACGAUCUGUAGCGGGUCUGAGAGGAUGAUCCGCCACACUGGGACUGAGACACGGCCCAGACUCCUACGGGAGGCAGCAGUGGGGAAUAUUGGACAAUGGGGGGAACCCUGAUCCAGCCAUGCCGCGUGUGUGAAGAAGGCCUUAUGGUUGUAAAGCACUUUAAGCGAGGAGGAGGCUACUUUAGUUAAUACCUAGAGAUAGUGGACGUUACUCGCAGAAUAAGCACCGGCUAACUCUGUGCCAGCAGCCGCGGUAAUACAGAGGGUGCGAGCGUUAAUCGGAUUUACUGGGCGUAAAGCGUGCGUAGGCGGCUUAUUAAGUCGGAUGUGAAAUCCCCGAGCUUAACUUG